rnacentral:rRNA from 1 species
GGAUGAACGCUGGCGGCGUGCCUAAUACAUGCAAGUCGAGCGAACGGACGAGAAGCUUGCUUCUCUGAUGUUAGCGGCGGACGGGUGAGUAACACGUGGAUAACCUACCUAUAAGACUGGGAUAACUUCGGGAAACCGGAGCUAAUACCGGAUAAUAUUUUGAACCGCAUGGUUCAAAAGUGAAAGACGGUCUUGCUGUCACUUAUAGAUGGAUCCGCGCUGCAUUAGCUAGUUGGUAAGGUAACGGCUUACCAAGGCAACGAUGCAUAGCCGACCUGAGAGGGUGAUCGGCCACACUGGAACUGAGACACGGUCCAGACUCCUACGGGAGGCAGCAGUAGGGAAUCUUCCGCAAUGGGCGAAAGCCUGACGGAGCAACGCCGCGUGAGUGAUGAAGGUCUUCGGAUCGUAAAACUCUGUUAUUAGGGAAGAACAUAUGUGUAAGUAACUGUGCACAUCUUGACGGUACCUAAUCAGAAAGCCACGGCUAACUACGUGCCAGCAGCCGCGGUAAUACGUAGGUGGCAAGCGUUAUCCGGAAUUAUUGGGCGUAAAGCGCGCGUAGGCGGUUUUUUAAGUCUGAUGUGAAAGCCCACGGCUCAACCGUGGAGGGUCAUUGGAAACUGGAAAACUUGAGUGCAGAAGAGGAAAGUGGAAUUCCAUGUGUAGCGGUGAAAUGCGCAGAGAUAUGGAGGAACACCAGUGGCGAAGGCGACUUUCUGGUCUGUAACUGACGCUGAUGUGCGAAAGCGUGGGGAUCAAACAGGAUUAGAUACCCUGGUAGUCCACGCCGUAAACGAUGAGUGCUAAGUGUUAGGGGGUUUCCGCCCCUUAGUGCUGCAGCUAACGCAUUAAGCACUCCGCCUGGGGAGUACGACCGCAAGGUUGAAACUCAAAGGAAUUGACGGGGACCCGCACAAGCGGUGGAGCAUGUGGUUUAAUUCGAAGCAACGCGAAGAACCUUACCAAAUCUUGACAUCCUUUGACAACUCUAGAGAUAGAGCCUUCCCCUUCGGGGGGCAAAGUGACAGGUGGUGCAUGGUUGUCGUCAGCUCGUGUCGUGAGAUGUUGGGUUAAGUCCCGCAACGAGCGCAACCCUUAAGCUUAGUUGCCAUCAUUAAGUUGGGCACUCUAAGUUGACUGCCGGUGACAAACCGGAGGAAGGUGGGGAUGACGUCAAAUCAUCAUGCCCCUUAUGAUUUGGGCUACACACGUGCUACAAUGGACAAUACAAAGGGCAGCGAAACCGCGAGGUCAAGCAAAUCCCAUAAAGUUGUUCUCAGUUCGGAUUGUAGUCUGCAACUCGACUACAUGAAGCUGGAAUCGCUAGUAAUCGUAGAUCAGCAUGCUACGGUGAAUACGUUCCCGGGUCUUGUACACACCGCCCGUCACACCACGAGAGUUUGUAACACCCGAAGCCGGUGGAGUAAC